rnacentral:rRNA from 1 species
UUGACGGGGGAGCACCACAACGGGUGGAGCUUGCGGUUUAAUUGGAUUCAACGCCGGAAAUCUUACCGGGACCGACAGCAAUAUGAAGGCCAGGCUGAGGACCUUUGCCGGAUUAGCUGAGAGGUGGUGCAUUGGCCGUCGUCAGUUCGUACUGUGAAGCAUCCUGUUAAGUCAGGCAACGAGCGAGACCCACGCCCACAGUUGCCAGCGUACUCUCUGGAGUGACGGGUACACUGUGGGGACCGCCGCUGCUAAAGCGGAGGAAGGAAUGGGCAACGGUAGGUCAGUAUGCCCCGAAUAUCCCGGGCUACACGCGAGCUACAAUGGUUGGUACAAUGGGUAUCUACCCCGAAAGGGGACGGGAAUCUCCUAAAACCAAUCUUAGUUCGGAUUGAGGGCUGCAACUCGCCCUCAUGAAGCUGGAAUCCGUAGUAAUCGCGUUUCAACAGAACGCGGUGAAUACGUCCCUGCUCCUU